GUUGAAAUACCUGAAGCAAAAAUAUUCACCAUCAAUUCAAAGGGUCAAAUUGUGCUAAAGCGCAACACAGAUACAAUGUCAUACUCCUGUCUACAUGGUUGUGUUAAUGACUUGUUUCCACCGAUGUCCUCAGUGAGCAGGUGCAGCUUACGGAGGCUGACUAUGUGAGUAUAGCUUCUUGAUCUGCAUAUCGCAUGCAAAGAGAAAACACAUGUGAGUGGACUCACAAUGCGAACCUUUGUUGUAUUUUUCUUUCCUUUUACGUUAUUUGCAUAAGGAGACGAGUUGGUAAUUACAUACUUUAAACUACACAGCUUUGGCUUAACCAAAGACAGCUUCACUUUAACUUGUAUAUAUUGCUCAUGGAAGUUACUAGCAUGUAGCAAU
rnacentral:misc_RNA from 1 species